rnacentral:sRNA from 1 species
UGGGCGGCUGCGGUCUGCGCGGACCCCCGCGCCUAGGCACUCCUGUGCCGCCAGUGCGCGGGGCCGGCCUCGCUCAGGCGUGUUCCUGCGCCGACCGGACGGCCGGACUCCAGCGCCUUGGCCCGGCCCGCGAACUCUGAGCACUCGCGGAAAUCCUUUAAAGAUAGGAAGUGAAAUCAAAUGGAUGUUGGUGAGUACCGCACGGCAACCAUUGCUUCAUUUCAUGGUUCAGAGUGAACUCUAAUCUGGAAGCCUUCCUUAGGUCAUUCCUGCUUCUGGGAUCCAACUCUAUGUUGUGCUUAAGAAAUGUGUCACAUCAGACAGAGUGAAUCACAAGACAGAGAUAUUUACCUAUCACAUACAUAUUUUAUUAGAUUUCAAGAUGACCAUAUAUACUUGGACAUAUCUGGACUUCAAAUUUGCUGGAACUUAGUUGCAUCCCGAGCUGGCUAAUACCUAGAGAUUCAUCAUUUCUGUUUGGAGAAAUGAAGAGGAACAGUUUAUCUGUUGAGAAUAAAAUUGUCCAGUUGUCAGGAGCAGCGAAACAGCCAAAAGUUGGGUUCUACUCUUCUCUCAACCAGACUCAUACGUACAUGGUUCUUCUAGACUGGGGGAGUUUGCCUCACCAUGUAGUAUUACGAAUUUUUCAGUAUCUUCCUUUACUAGAUCGGGCCCGUGCAUCUUCUGUAUGUAGGAGGUGGAAUGAAGUUUUUCAUAUUCCUGACCUUUGGAGAAAGUUUGAAUUUGAACUGAACCAGUCAGCUACUUCAUAUUUUAAGUCCACUCAUCCUGAUCUCAUUCAGCAGAUCAUUAAAAAGCAUUCUGCUCAUCUUCAAUAUGUCAGCUUUAAGGUUGACAGUAGCGCUGAGUCAGCAGAAGCUGCCUGUGAUAUACUCUCUCAGCUGGUAAAUUGUUCCGUCCAGACCUUGGGCUUGAUUUCAACAGCCAAGCCAAGUUUCAUGAAUGUGUCAGAGGAAUUCUUUGUGUAGCUGAUCACUGUCAAGGCCUUAGAGAACUGGCAUUGAAUUAUUACAUCCUAACUGAUGAACUUCUCCUUGCACUCUCAAGCGAGAUUCAUGUUAACCUUGAACAUCUUCAAAUUGAUGUUGUGAGUGAAAAUCCUGGACAGAUUAAAUUUCAUGCUAUUAAAAAACACAGUUGGGAUGCACUUAUUAAACAUUCACCUAGAGUUAAUGUUGUUAUGUACUUCUUUCUAUAUGAAGAGGAAUUUGAGACGUUCUUCAAAGAAGAAACCCCUGUUACUUACCUUUAUUUUGGUCGUUCAGUCAGCAAAUCGGUUUUAGGACGGGUAGGUCUCAACUGUCCUCGACUGAUUGAGUUAGUGGUGUGUGCUAAUGGUCUUCAGCCUCUUGAUAAUGAACUUAUUUGUAUUGCUGAACACUGUACAAAUCUAACAGCCUUGGGCCUCAGCGAAUGUGAAGUUAGCUGCAGUGCCUUCAUCAAGUUUGUAAGACUGUGUGGGAGAAGGCUAACACAGCUCUCUAUAAUGGAGGAAGUUUUGAUCCCUGAUGAGGAUUAUAGCCUAGAUGAAAUUCACACUGAAGUCUCCAAAUACCUGGGAAGAGUAUGGUUCCCUGAUGUGAUGCCUCUCUGAUAAUGGGCUGCGAAAGAUUCCGAAAUUGUUGCUGUUUUUUUAAAUCAGUAUGAUUAGCUGCUUUCUAUCUAAGCAAAUGUAAAUUUUAAAAUGUGUUGCUGCUGUAUUUUAGGUCAAAGAUUUGAUUGUUUGCAAACUGUCUUAAUGGAUUGCUGCAGAAACAUUUGAAAAAAAAUAAGAAAUUUGAAAAGCAAGAAAUUGCUGUAAAUAGGGCACAAGCCCUGUACGUGGAUUAGAUGGUCGAUAUGCCAAAAACUACAGAUGGUUUCUAAGCAGAUUUCUCAGCUUUCCUUGGAGGCAUAUUGUAGCUUGCUAAGUAAAUGUGUAAUAUUGAACUUGGAUUCUGUAAGUUAUGUUAUUUACUUUAUUACAUUGUUUUAUUUGAUUCUAUUUUAUCUUGGUAUUAAUAUAUUUUAUAAAAUAUAAAAUAUUUUAAAGUUUAUUUAACUAUAACAUUUUUAGCACUAUAUGAGAUCAUCUUGUGAUUCAAUAAAAAACUUCUAAUUUCCAAAGUACUUCAGAUUCUACUUUAUUAUAUUGAGAGGUAAUGGAAAUUCGAUUAAAAUUUAAAAAUACUAAUUCAUUUCAUAAUGAUACUGAUGUGAAAAGACAAGAGAUAGUCAUUCUGAUUGUUAAUUGGUAGACUAUUUGAAUAAAGCAAUAAAUGUUGCAGGAUGUGUUUGGGAGGGAAUCAGCGUUCCCUGCCUCCUGCUAUGGAUCUGGAACUGUGCCAGAUCCUCUGCAUAAGUGAUCUUGGAAUUUAAUUAGCAACACAGUUAGAACUCCUUAGUGGCUGCUUAUUGUCUUGAGGGUGAAGAUCUAGCCUUAAAAUAACCCACAAGGUCCUGCAAGGUCUGAUCCCUCCCUGUUUCUUUUGCCUCAUUUCCCAUCAAGCUGCCCCUUGCCCUUCGGUUCCCAUUUCUUCUCAGUUCCUUAGAACUGUCCUGCACCCUCUAGUCACAAGGAAUUUGCUCGUACCUCUUUCUGCCUGGCUUACUCUCUGUGCUCCUCAGAUCUUUCUUCUAGCUGUAUGUCCUUGAUCAUGGAAGCCUUCCUGGACACCCGGCCCAUUCCC